ACUACAACAGCAAGUUGUAUAAAGAAAUAAAAUUUGCGGUACGUUGAUUUGAAUUUAGACAGCGGUAUGGGAAGGUGGCCUAAAGAUGUGGAAGUAUGUGAUCAUGGGCUUUUUUGAAUCUGGGUAACAUACCAACAAUAGGGUCAUCUUAAGACUGUUCUGCAUUCAAUUUCAAUUUCCUCAACUUCAAAGAUGCUUUUUCUACCCAGCUACAAAAUAGUUGCUUUUAGCCAUUUUACUGAAUUUAACUUUUUAUGGAAUAGAAUGGCAGAUAAUCCAAACUGUUUCAAGAUUCUUGCAUGUAUAUAAAGGAACUCCCGAUCCAGAUUCAUACUUUUGAUUACAACCAGUACUGAUACUGUUUUAAAGUGCAUCUUGACUACUUCUGGUGCUGCUAGACAUGGAGUUCCAGAAACAUGAAGGAUUCCUACUGAACUAUUUGAUCUACAUCAAGAAUUUGCACAUAACUUUUAUCAGAAUUAAUGAAAAACAGAUAGCAAUAUGGUUAAAGUUGAUUUAUAUUAGUUACAGAACCUACAAGAAUAGAUUGUUUACAAACUUAAUUUUCAAAAACAGGGUCUCUUCACUGCUAGUUUUCCAAUUUUUAAAUUUUUUUCCAAAGGAAAACAACUGCCAUUAUUUAUUCCUACAUUUAUAUUCUUUCUUCUAGAUAAAAGGAAUACUAAUCCUUGAAAAAAAAUUGAAAAACUAGAUCUGUAGUCCAACUGGAACACUAUUUUACACACAGUAGUUAACUUGAAUAAUUGCUAUAGCCCAAUAUAUUUUCAGUGUAUUAGAAAAAAAAAAACCUUACUGAUACUAGAUAUUUUAAAGUAUAUGUCCAUUUUCCUACAUCUACAUGAAGGUAAAACCUAUAACUUAACAUUUUAAUUAUUUUGAUAUCUGUCUUAAAAAUGAAUAUUUCACUAUUAUAUUUUUUUAACUUUCCGAAAAGAGUAACAGUUAAACAUUGAGUUACUAUAUUUAGUCCAAAAUCAUAAGCAAGAUGUUACAAGUCACUACAAAGGUGACAGUCUGCUGCAUAGUCAAAUUGGUUAACACAUUGAGUUUCAUUUGUAAACAUGAUUGGUAUGACUAAUUUCUAAUACAUAGAAAAUUUCACACAUAUUUAGGUGCUGUAAAACAGCAUUACGUAUCUAAAUGGCUGUCCAUGGGGGAUUGUUCGCACAGAUAGCAAUCUGCGCGAACAAUCCCCCAUGGAAAGUUGUUGGGGUUUGUUUUUAUAUAUUUUUUAACUUAGACACUUGUGUUUUAUGUAUGAUUGCAUUUUAAGUUCAUGCCAAUAUUGUGUAAUUAUAAUUUUCAAUGUUGAGGAAGUGAUAAUAAAAUUGAGUAUUUCAAUUAAAACUUCCUUUUCACAUGUAUUAUUCACUUUACAUUGGAUAUUUUAUGAGAUUUACGAAUUUGUAAUAACAUGGUGUGAAACCACAAUUGAGUUUUUGAAUAAUGCUUCAAGUUUGGUGUUUAAAGCAAAUAAAAUUUAAUUUUCAAAAGAA